rnacentral:sRNA from 1 species
UAGGAUAGGAACCGAAGGAGAAGGAUCUUACUGAAGUGGAAGGUUCACCAUGAGGAGUGGAGGACUAUACAAGCCUGGCAGUCGUGGAAGUUCAAGGAUUGCUUUUUAUCGAUAUCUAGAAAUAAUUUACUUCUCUUUCUGUGCAAGAACAAUAUGCUCUCCUGUUUGCAGAGCUGCCCCUUCAGUGUGUUUCUAGAGACGAAAUGGAGAAGAUAUACCAGUAGCCCAGACUAAGAACAUCAAUCAUAGAAGGUUUGCCGCUUCCUUCAGAUUGCAAGAAGUGACAAAAACUGACCAGGAUUUGUAUCGCUGUGUAACUCAGUCAGAACGAGGUUCCGGUGUGUCCAAUUUUGCUCAACUUAUUGUGAGAGAACCGCCAAGACCCAUUGCUCCUCCUCAGCUUCUUGGUGUUGGGCCUACAUAUUUGCUGAUCCAACUAAAUGCCAACUCGAUCAUUGGCGAUGGUCCUAUCAUCCUGAAAGAAGUAGAGUACCGAAUGACAUCAGGAUCCUGGACAGAAACCC